rnacentral:misc_RNA from 1 species
CCUGCUUUGCACGCAGG